rnacentral:rRNA from 1 species
UACGUAGGGGGCAAGCGUUGUCCGGAUUUAUUGGGCGUAAAGAGCGUGUAGGCGCCAGGUAGGUCUGCUGUGAAAACUCGAGGCUUAACCUCGAAGCUGUCGGCGGAAACCAUCUGGCUAGAGUCCGGAAGAGGAGAAUGGAAUUCCCGGUGUAGUGGUGAAAUGCGUAGAUAUCGGGAGGAACACCAGUGGCGAAGGCGACUACCUGGC